UAGCCGCGAUAUAGCUCUUCCGAGAGAUUUGAUACACUUUUAGUUAGGCAUCGGACCUAGCUGUGUAGGUACGCUUCAGUCUCAAGUUAGGAUCGAAGGGAUGCCCCCACUGUACUGGACGACAGUUCUACGGAGCACAGUAGAUUUGUCAUGGGGCAGCUGACAGCAUGCGGUGCAGAAGACGCCCACGGGUGUACUGCUUUGUACGAUAACUGAUCGUGAUCAGCUGAUGUACGUAGAUAGAUCGCUACUCGUGCAGCAGCGCGUAAUACGGAGGAUCAAGCGUAUCCGGAUUUAUGGGUUUAAAGGGUGCGUAGGCGGUUCUUUAAGUCAGGGUGAAAGACGGUAGCUUAACUAUCGCAGUGCCUUUGAUACUGAAGAACUUGAAUACACUUGAGGUAGGCAGAAUGUGACAAGUAGCGGUGAAAUGCAUAGAUAUGUCACAGAACACCAAUUGCGAAGGCAGCUUACUAAAGUGUUAUUGACGCUGAGGCACGAAAGCGUGGGGAUCAAACAGGAUUAGAUACCCUGGUAGUCCACGCCCUAAACGAUGAAUACUCGAUGUUGGCGAUAUACGGUCAGCGUCUAAGCGAAAGCGUUAAGUAUUCCACCUGGGGAGUACGCCCGCAAGGGUGAAACUCAAAGGAAUUGACGGGGGCCCGCACAAGCGGAGGAGCAUGUGGUUUAAUUCGAUGAUACGCGAGGAACCUUACCCGGGCUUGAAAGUUAGUGAAUGAUUCAGAGACGAAUCAGUCCUUCGGGACACGAAACUAGGUGCUGCAUGGCUGUCGUCAGCUCGUGCCGUGAGGUGUUGGGUUAAGUCCCGCAACGAGCGCAACCCCUGUGAAUAGUUACCAGCACGUAAUGGUGGGGACUCUAUUCAGACUGCCUAUGCAAAUAGAGAGGAAGGAGGGGACGACGUCAAGUCAUCAUGGCCCUUACGUCCGGGGCUACACACGUGCUACAAUGGAUGGUACAGCGGGCAGCUACCUGGCAACAGGAUGCCAAUCUCGUAAAGCCAUUCACAGUUCGGAUCGGGGUCUGCAACUCGACCCCGUGAAGUUGGAUUCGCUAGUAAUCGCAUAUCAGCAAGAAGCGGUACGGUC
rnacentral:rRNA from 1 species